UGGUUUGGGUACUCGCAUACGAAAUGUGUCAUCUCCUCAUCCUGUACCUUGCUUAGAGUCAGCUUCUUUCAAUAAAGAACGAUCAUCCUCUGCUACAAAGGGGAAACAAGAUGGGCAAUCUUAUAAACUCAUAGGGAGUUCUGUGAAGACCAUUGCUUGUGGUGGUCGACACAGUGCUGUAGUUACAGACACAGGAGUGCUACUUACUUUUGGCUGGGGGCUUUAUGGCCAGGAACUUUGUAAAAG